rnacentral:rRNA from 1 species
UGCAAGUCGAACGGCAGCACGGGCUUCGGCCUGGUGGCGAGUGGCGAACGGGUGAGUAAUACAUCGGAACGUGCCCUGUAGUGGGGGAUAACUAGUCGAAAGAUUAGCUAAUACCGCAUACGACCUGAGGGUGAAAGCGGGGGACCGUAAGGCCUCGCGCUACAGGAGCGGCCGAUGUCUGAUUAGCUAGUUGGUGGGGUAAAAGUCUACCAAGGCGACGAUCAGUAGCUGGUCUGAGAGGACGAUCAGCCACACUGGGACUGAGACACGGCCCAGACUCCUACGGGAGGCAGCAGUGGGGAAUUUUGGACAAUGGGGGCAACCCUGAUCCAGCAAUGCCGCGUGUGUGAAGAAGGCCUUCGGGUUGUAAAGCACUUUUGUCCGGAAAGAAAUGGCUCUGGUUAAUACCCGGGGUCGAUGACGGUACCGGAAGAAUAAGCACCGGCUAACUACGUGCCAGCAGCCGCGGUAAUACGUAGGGUGCGAGCGUUAAUCGGAAUUACUGGGCGUAAAGCGUGCGCAGGCGGUUUUGUAAGACAGGCGUGAAAUCCCCGAGCUCAACUUGGGAAUGGCGCUUGUGACUGCAAGGCUAGAGUAUGUCAGAGGGGGGUAGAAUUCCACGUGUAGCAGUGAAAUGCGUAGAGAUGUGGAGGAAUACCGAUGGCGAAGGCAGCCCCCUGGGACGUCACUGACGCUCAUGCACGAAAGCGUGGGGAGCAAACAGGAUUAGAUACCCUGGUAGUCCACGCCCUAAACGAUGUCAGCUAGUUGUUGGGGAUUCAUUUCUUCAGUAACGUAGCUAACGCGUGAAGUUGACCGCCUGGGGAGUACGGUCGCAAGAUUAAAACUCAAAGGAAUUGACGGGGACCCGCACAAGCGGUGGAUGAUGUGGAUUAAUUCGAUGCAACGCGAAAAACCUUACCUACCCUUGAC